rnacentral:rRNA from 1 species
CGGGUGAGUAACGCGUGAGGAACCUGCCUCAAAGAGGGGGACAACAGUUGGAAACGACUGCUAAUACCGCAUAAGCCCACGGCUCGGCAUCGAGCAGAGGGAAAAGGAGCAAUCCGCUUUGAGAUGGCCUCGCGUCCGAUUAGCUAGUUGGUGAGGUAACGGCCCACCAGGGCGACGAUCGGUAGCCGGACUGAGAGGUUGAACGGCCACAUUGGGACUGAGACACGGCCCAG